rnacentral:lncRNA from 1 species
UGGAUGAUUCUUACACGCCUGUUUCUCUAAUCUCACCUACCUAUCCUUCUUUAGUCUGUUACAAGUUGUUCAAGCAGCCGUUACAAGUCGCUGAUGAUGUUGAUGAUCCAAUGUGGAUCUUAUUUCAGUUGUUGAUCCUUCGUGUGGAUCUGUGGUUACUAUAGAUCCUGUGGAUCUCUGUUUUGGUUGUCAUAUCUGGUAAGAUCCGUUCAAUCUUGGUGUGGCUCAAACCCUAAGUAGGGCUUGUUGAAGUUUGGAAGGAGAUUGCCUGUUUUUUGAAGACUUGAGUUAGUCUCUGAAACCCUAGAAGGUUCAGAGCAAACUAACCGAGUGUGGUUCAUUGUGUCUUGAUCAGAUUGUGUAGUUCUUGAAAACUACAAAUUUGAUCUCUCUAGUAGUUUAACGCACCCUCUGUUUGUGAUCUAUGCCUUGAUCUGUUUUGUGUCUCUAUGAUGUCUUUGGCUGUGUCUUGUUGUCUUGUGAAUCUCAUGUCUUGUAGCUUGUCAGAGUUAGGAUUUUGUUUUGGAAGAUUAGGGGGCAAAGUGAAACAUGGGCUGUUGCUGUUAUAAAAAAGGAAAAGUUAAGUGUAUCUGGAUGAUUCUUACACGCGUGUUUCUCUAAUCUCACCUACCUAUCCUUCUUCAGUCUGUUACAAGUUGUUCAAGCAGCCGUUACAAGUCGCUGAUGAUGUUGAUGAUCCAAUGUGGAUCUUAUUUCAGUUGUUGAUCCUUCGUGUGGAUCUGUGGUUACUAUAGAUCCUGUGGAUCUCUGUUUUGGUUGUAUUGUUCUUGUUAAUCAACUGAUAAUCAUCAGUUGAUUGUUUAUUAUUUCUUAUAUUUUUUUGUAUUUUGGAUCUUACAGUUUGUAAGGUCUUGGGAGGUUGGGUGUUUUUUCGGUUUGGGUAACUAAUAAAGUUUUGUCACCGUUUUGUCACUUCUUUUCUGUUAUGUGUUGUUUGAUCAUGUUGUAUUGUUAAUCUUUUAUACCAUUUUGACAAUCACCAAAUCCUAAACCGGCGAAAAAAUAAAAACUACUCCCGGGUUUACCAAUGGGGUUGGAAUUCGAUUGUCAUCCCUAUUUUCAAGUAUGUUUUUAAAAACAUUAGUAUGACAUAUUUUUGUGCUAAUGUGGCACAUUAUAAGCAUGGGUUAAUUUAUUCUACAAAAACUCCUAAAAAUAAGAAGUGUAGAAAGACGCAAUGGAUCGUACAACAUGACAUAAUGUCAAGCAAAAUAUAAAACAAUGCUAAAAAAUAUAACACAAUGUCGAGAAAAAAGACACAAUGAGGUGAAAAAAAAACACAAUUAUGCAGAUAUAUAGAAGACACAAUGAUA